ACUGGGAACAGUGGCUCGUUCCUGUAAUCCAGCUUCUUUGGAGGUCGAGGCUGUUGGAUGGCUUGAGGUUGGGAGUUCUGUCCUCUGUGGGUCUACGCUGAUCCGGCGUCCGCGCUAAGCACUGUGUCGAUAUGGUAACCGUGGGGGAGCCCGAAUCUACCAGGUCCCGUAAUGAGGAGCAAACCGGCAGAUGGCGGAAGCGCAGCAGGCAGAAGAUCUCGCGAUAGCGGCCAGUGGGCAUCCUGUCUAAGACAAUCGGACUCAGCCUUUU
rnacentral:SRP_RNA from 1 species